AUUGAACGCUGGCGGCAUGCCUUACACAUGCAAGUCGAACGGCAGCACGGGAGCAAUCCUGGUGGCGAGUGGCGAACGGGUGAGUAAUAUAUCGGAACGUGCCCAGUCGUGGGGGAUAACGUAGCGAAAGCUACGCUAAUACCGCAUACGAUCUAAGGAUGAAAGCGGGGGAUCGAAAGACCUCGCGCGAUUGGAGCGGCCGAUAUCAGAUUAGCUAGUUGGUGAGGUAAAGGCUCACCAAGCCGACGAUCUGUAGCUGGUCUGAGAGGACGACCAGCCACACUGGGACGGAGACCCGGCCCAGACUCCUACGGGAGGCAGCAGUGGGGAAUUUUGGACAAUGGGCGCAAGCCUGAUCCAGCAAUGCCGCGUGCAGGACGAAGGCCUUCGGGUUGUAAACUGCUUUUGUACGGAGCGAAACGGCUCUCUCUAAUACAGGGGGCUAAUGACGGUACCGUAAGAAUAAGCACCGGCUAACUACGUGCCAGCCGCCGCCGUAA
rnacentral:rRNA from 1 species